UCCCAGCAGUCCAAGUCGCAGCCACAAUUAUUGGGUCUAAAACAUCCGUAGCUUGCUUAGUAAGUCCUUUGUGAAAUCGGGCCUCUUAAGGGUCCGGCAUGCAAAGGAUACUGCUGAGCUUGAGACCGGAAGACGUAAAGAGUACGAAUAGGGUAGCGGUAAAAUGUGUUGAUCCUAUUCGGACUAACAACAGCGAAGGCACUUUACGAGCACGGAUCUGACAGUGAGGGAUGAAGGCUAGGGGCGCAAAGUG
rnacentral:rRNA from 1 species